GCUGUUUUUCGUAUGUCUGUUGGCUACAUGUAUGUCUUUUUUUGAGAAGUGUCUGUUCAUAUCCUUUGUAGGGUAGGUAUACGUUUAACUUCAGUAGAAACUCCAAGCAGUUUCCCAAGUUGUACCAGUGUAUUCACCCAAAAGCAUUAGGUGAGAGUUUCAUUUGCUUCACAUUCUCAAGAACACUUCCAGUGAGUGAAGUCUUUCGCCAUUCUGGGAGGUGUAUAUUUGUGUAUCAUUGUCAUUUUAAUUUGCAUUUCUAUGGUGCUGAUGAUGCGCGAGUGCUUCUAUAUAUGUUGACUGGCCAUUUGGAUAUUGAUAUUCUCUUUUGUGAAAUUUCUCUUUAGAUCUUUACCCCUUUAAAAAAUUGGAUUGUUUGCCUUAUUUAUUAUUGAUUUAUAGUAAUUCUUUAUAUUAUGUAUUUUAUAUACAAAACUUUUGUGGGAUAUAUGUAUUGGGAAUAUCUUCUCCUGGUCUGUGGCUUAUCUCUUACUGUUUUAAUCUUAAUGGUGUCUUUUAGAGAACAAAAGUUCCUAGUUUUCAUGAAGUCCAACUUAUUUUUUUCUUUAGUAGUUUAGUGCUUUUGAAUAUUAAUUUACAAAAUCUUUGCCUACAGGAAGAUCACAAAGAUAUUGUCCUACAUUUUGUUCUAGAAGUUUUAUAGAUUUAUCUUUCACUUUUUUUUUAGGCAGGGUCUUGCUCUGUCACUCAGGUUGGAGUGCAGUGGUGCAAAUAUAGCUCAGUGCAACCUUGACCUCCUGGGCUCAAGUGAGCCUCCUGCCUCCGCCUCCCUUGUAAUUGGGACCACUGUGCAUGCCACCAUGUCCAGCAAUUUUUUGAUUUAUUUUUAUAGAGGUAGGGUCUUACCAUGUUGCCCAGCCUGGCCUCACACUCCUGGGCUCAAAGGAUCCUCCCGCCUUGACCUUCCAAGGUGCAGAGUCUAUAGCUGUGAGCCACCACACCUGGCUACCUUUCACUUUUAGAUAUGUGAUCUAGAAUUAAUUUUUGUUCAUGGUGUGCAAUUGGGAUUAAGGUUUUUGUUUGUUUGUUUGUUUUACUGGUUUACAGUGCUCUAGCACCAUUAAUUGAAAAGAUUGUCUUUUCCCUUCAGACUUUCAGUGGUCUUUUUCAUAAACUAAGUGACUGUUUAUAUGUGGAUCUGUUUUUGGACUCUGUUCCAUUGGUCUAUUUAUGCAUUCUUUGGUUGUUGUCAGACUCUCCAAUAUAAUAAAUUUUGAAGUCUGGUAGUGUCAGUUCUCAACUUUGUUCUUAAAGAUUGCCUUGGCUAGUCUAGGACCUUUGCAUUUGUAUGUAAUUUUUAGGAUCCUUAGGUCAAUUUCCACAAAAAAACUUAAUGGAAUUUUGAUUUGGUUUGCAUUGUAUCUAUAGAUUAAUUUGGGGAGGAUUGGCAUCAUAGCAAUAUUGAGUCUUUUGAACCAUGAGCAUGAUAUAUUUCUCCAUUUAUUUACAUCUUAAAAUUUUUUUCUCAAUUUUUAGUUUUCAGUUGUAGAUGUCUUUAUUCAUUGGUAUUUUAUUUUCUUAUGUUAUUGUAUAAGUGGUGUUUCAUAAAUUUCAUGUUUGAUUGUUGUUGUUAGAAAUAGAAAUAGAAAAAUCUUGAGCUUGUAUUAAACAACCUUACUAAAUUUGCUUAUUCGUUGUAGUUGGUAUAUAAUCAUGUUACCUGUUUUCUUUUUGAUCUUUAUACUUUCCCACCCUUUUAUUGCCUGUUUUCCUGACUAUAACCUUUAGUAUAAUGUUGAAUAGAAGUGAUGAUAGUGGACAAUCUUCUUUUCUCUUUAACCUUUGGGGAAGUAUUGAACAUUUUACCAAUCUAAUAAAUAGAUUGGUAUUAGUGGUAGGUUUGUGUGUAUGUGUGUGUAUAUUAUUAUUACUAUUAUUUUUGGUAAUAGCUACCUUUUAUCAGAUUAAGGAAGUUCCCUUCCAUUCCUAGGUUACCAAGAGCUUUUUUUAAAAAAACGAUAAAUGAAUGUUAAAUUCUAUCAAAUACUUUUUCUGCAUCUAUUGAGAUGAUCCUAGAAUUUCUCUGCUUAAUUUUGUUAAUGUAGUGAAUUACUUUUUAAAAAAAUUUUAAUUUCUUUUUAAAGAUGGGUCUCACUUCACUGUGCCUGGAUAUUACUUAGGUUUAUUUUUGAAUGUUGAACCAACACUGUAUUCUUGGAAUAAACCCCACUUGAUUAUGUAUAUUAUGUAUAUUAUCCUUAUAUAUUGCUGGGUUUUCUUUGCUAAAUUAUCAUUUUUAUUUUUAAAAGUUUUCAUCUGUGUUCAUGAGAGAUGUUAGCCUAUAAUUUUCUUUUCUUGUGUCCAUAUCAUGUAUGCAUAUUAUUAGGCUUAUGCUGGCCUCACACAGUGCUUAGGAAGUGUUUUCUUCUCUUUCUAUUGGCUAGAAAAAUAGUACAAGAUUGAUUUCUGUUAUUUUUAAUCUGUAUGAUAAUCUCUUUUUCUCUUUUUAAAAUUUGUGAAAUAGUCAUCAAAAUAGAGUAUGGUUGUCUUCUUUUGCAGCUGAAGAAACUGAAGCUUAUAGAAUUUAAGUACUAUUAGAUAGCUGGUGGUUACUGCUCUGUAUUGAAAACCAGUUCUGUUUUACUUCAAAGCCUUUGCUAUACAGUAUACAUGGAGGAAAAUGAGUGACCAGGUGAUCAUAUGGGGAUCUUAAGAAAUACCAGAAGUUGUUCUUUUGGAAACUUUGUUUUUCUGAUGUUCAAGUGGCAGUAGGUGUGGGAAGCCGUUGCAAGCAGUAUCUCCCAAGAGUGAGCUUAUUCUCCUAUUGUAGAUAUCAGGAUAUCAUUGCUUUCCUUUUCUGCACUGUAUCAUGUUUUAGUUAUUUUAUGGAAAUCUAUCAGAGUGGAAGAGCAAAAGGUCAGUUGGAAGAGAAAAAAGAUGAAACUGAAACUAAAAGUGGUUAAAUAUACUUACAUUAGGUAUCAAUUACUACUUGUAUAUUAUCCAUGUUACAUUUUAAAUUUGCAUUGGCUUUUUUGUUGUUCUUUAGGUACCUUGCUAGGAUUAUUGAUUUUGUUCAUUAUGAGCAGAUCUGAGUGCCUAUCAUGUACAUAAUAUUUCUGUGACCAGUUCAUUCAUUGUGCUCAAGUGAUAAUAACCAAUUUUAAUAUUAAUUCUGUAAAACAUAUAGCGCUUAAUAUUCCUCACAUAUGGAGCUUAAUCUUCCCCCACAAAUUUUAUUUUGUAUAUUUUAAUUGCAAAAAUAAAGGAUUUAUUCAUAUUGUAGCUAGUUUGCAUCAGCAUGAAUUAAUAAGUUUCACUAUUUUUCUUGUUAGCAUUUUUAAGUUUUAUUGAAUUAGAUGGGUAAAUGAAUAGUAAUUAUAUUAUCUGCAGUGUAAUUAUCUUUGAUUUCAGUUAUUCACACCAUCUCUUUACAAGUGAUAAUCAAAAAUUAUUUCAAAGUUUGAAAAUUUUUAACAUAAAAUUUCUGCUCAAUUUUUAUACUUUUUAAAUUUCCUUCAAGUAAUAUAUGCACAUAGUUAACAAUAAGAUAGUACCAAAAGACUUAAGGUGAAAAAUAGCAGUCUUCUUUCUAUUUCUGUUCCACUCUACAGUCCUGCACUCCAAAAGCAAUUACUCCUAAUUUUUUCCCCAUUUCUUAAGGUAUUUACCUACAUAAUUUAAAAUAAUAUGGCUCUUCUACUAAUUUUUUGGCUUAAGCAGUUUUCUUAUGAUAAUUGAAGAGUUAGCUCUUUUAUUAUGCCUCUCUCCAUUCUUUCUCCAUUCUCUUGCUAUAGUUAUGUCAUGAAUUUAAAAUCUAUUUUUGGUAUUUAUAUUACUUGAUUAUGGAAAUACUGUUUAUUUGUGAACUAAGUAGUUCACUUUUUUUUUUUAAAGCAUCCAGUGUUACUAUUAAUAAGUAGAAAGCCAUUCUGAUUUCUCUCUGGAAGCGUUCAAGAUUUCCUUUACCCCUGGUGCUCACAAGUUUUGUGAUGCUGUGCUUUGAUAAGUGUCUUUUUUUCAACCUUUGUGCUGAUAUUUGAUGGGUCUUUUUACUUUUUAAUUUUUGGGGAAAAAUUCAUGUGUGUGUUUUUUUUUCUCUUCCCUUUUUUUGAUUCUUUCUGGGCUUCCUGUUAGUUGAAAAUUCUGUUCCCUAGGUUAAUUUGCCUAAUUUUUAAAGUGUUUUUCUCCUAUAGUUUAUCUCUUAGGCUUUUUGUCUUAUUUUUCUAGUUGUCCUUCACUUCAUCUUUCUGUCCGUCUACUGAAUUAUAAAAAUUGUAUUAUCAUAGUUUUAAUUUCUUAGAGGGGUUCCUUAUUCUCUGUUCCCAUUUUAAUAUUAUGUCUUUGAUUCAUGGGUACAACAUCUAUUCUUAUUUUUCUGAGAUUAUUAAUAAGAGUUUAUUGAUGUCAUUCCUCCUACUUCCUAAUUUCUUUUGGCACAUUUUGGUCUUUGCUUUUCUGUUGCAAGCUUUUGUCAGAUUCUUCAAGUCUUAGUUCUUGCAAAAGCAGAAUCUAAAAUACCCUAUCUUUGGUUUAUUUGGAAGGUGAUUCCAGGAAUUAUAAUGAGAGAAUAAGGAGGUGAGACAGGGAAGAGAAGAAGUCCAGUAAAAGGUGUAUUGAUUUUGUGGGUUAUCGUUUGGAGCAGCUGGAGCUCAAUACUGCUGGAGACUUUCAGAGAGACUGUGUAGAACUGCACUGUCUAAUACUAAUCACUAGCUACAUAUGGCUAUUAAAAUUAAAAUUAAAAUGAAUGAAAUUAAGUAAAAUUAGAGAUUCAGUUUGCAUUCACACCAGCCACACUUUAAGUGCAGAUGUAGAACAUUAGACAGUGCAGAUAUAGAACACUCCAAUUCAGUCCAGUCCAGUGCAGAUAUAGGACAUUUCCAUCAUGGUUUAUAACAUACCUUAGAAUUGUACCAUGGAGGUUCAGGAAAACUGACCUAUUUAUCUACCAUCAUCUGUCCCUUAUUGAUUAAGAGUUGCUCCUAGAGUUACUGACUCCCUGUCACUUAUGGCCUGCGCCACACAGGGGCUGUGUCAUUUCUGCUACCUUACUCAUUUCCACUGGGUACCUAGUAACACCAAAUGCAGAGUUUCUCUAGUUCAUUUUUUUCUAGAGAUCCAAAUCCUGGUCUUCUGUCAGUCUGAGGCAAGUAGUCACUUGACUGAAUGUGGUGGAGGGAAGAUAGUCUUUUAUAAGUAUGCAGAUUUUUAACCAAAUUGCUCAUAUUUUUUUGGGGAAAUCUUACCCCAGUAUCCCAUGGCAACUGUUACAUUCGAGUUCCAAGCCUUUGGAGGAUUCCAUGGAGUAAAUUGACUUCUUAUUCUUGUCCUUUACCACAGGCAUUCUGAUUGCAGUUUUCCCUGAUCUGCAAAUUACUACCACUCUGUAGCUUAAGAAAAAUUAUGAUAUAUAGUAUUUCAAACAUGUGGAGAAGUAUAAAGAAAAAAUAUGCUUGCAAUUCAUAUAGUGCUGGGAUAAAUUCAACUAAGCCCUGUAGGGUUGUCUUUUUUUUUUUAAUACCAGGAAUCUUUUGUUUAAAUUUUAGGAGACUUGUCACCACUCAGUGAUAUCAAGGCUGCUGGGGUUAUUAUGUCCUUUUUCUUCUCCUUUGCUGUGUUUAGGUGGCUACUAGUUUAUUGAGAAAUUUUUGGUCUAUUUGCAUAAGAGAUCUUAGCAUAUUAUAAUGUUCUUUCUAUGUAACAUUUGUCUGCAUUUGGUUUUGAUGUCCAGGUAACACUAGAUUUAUGAAAAAAGUUUGUGUUACCUCUUUUUCCGUUAUGUGGAACAGUUUGUACAAAAUUAAUAUUAGUUGUUCCUUAAAUGCUUGGUUGAACUACCCAGUUUAGGCCCGGUUGUUUGUGUGUGUGUGUGUGUGUGAGACAUUCCUUCUUACUAGUUUAAUAUUUUUCUUUUUAAAACACCUUAAAUGUAGUUUUUUCAGUUAGAGUCUGUUAGUGGUAAGUUCUUUUUGUGUUUCUGGAAGUUUCUUUGUUUAACUCUCACUCUUGGAUGAUAGUUUAGCUGGGUAUAGAAUUCUGACAAGUCUGUUUUGAGUUUUUUCUUCCUUAAAUCUUUUGAAAAUUUUCUAAGUUUUUUCUUAUUUUCAGUUUGGCUUGAUGACCAUGUGGCUUGAUAUGUGGCCUGAAUCUUACUUAAAUAUUAGGUCUAUAGAUUUAACAAGUGAAAACUAAUUUUUAUAAUUCAUUUCCUAGUUUUUAUUUAGAUACCAGCAAUAUUCAUGAUAAAAAGUACCAUAUAGUCUCAGAUAUCUUUAAUUUUAAUGGUUAGAAUUAUGUUAAAAUAUUAAACCAGCAUGUCUGAAUCAUGACUACAUAAUAAAGCCUAUUGAUUUAAUUGGUUUGAGGUGGGAGUCCAAGCCUGUAUUUUCUUUCAGUGUGCUCAAAUAAUUCUAAUGUGCAGCCAGAGGUUAAAGAACAUGAAGUUACAAAUUGAGCUGUAAAUUCAGAGAUAUUCUAAUACAAAUCUCAACUGUCUUUUUCUUUUUGUUUUGUUUUUAUUUAAAAAGUUGGCAGCCUAAAUUCAAAAUGUAUGUGGAAAGACAGAUCAAUAGUCAAAGCAAUAAAAAAGAAGUACAUCAUUGGAUUUAUAGUUCCUGAUUUUGAGAUUUACUUAAAGACAAUGUGGUAUUAGUGAUAGAAUGGAUAUUAUGGACAAUAGACCCACACAUACAUAUUCAGUUGGUUUUUGGCAAAGGUGGUAGGGCAUUUCAAAGGAGGAAGUAAUAAUAUUUACAACAAAUGUGCUGGAAAAACUGUAUAAUACGUAUGUAAUAAAAUGUAUACUGACUCUUACCUCACAUCAUGCAGGAAAGGUGAACUUAAAAUGUGUCAUAGACCUAAAUUUAAAACUAAAAAAAGCUGUAAGACAUCUAGAAGAAAACAUAGAACACAGAAAACACAAACCAUAAAAGAAAAAAAUUCAUAAACUGGACCUUGUCAAAAUUAAAACCUUUUGUUCUUUAAAAGUUAUCAAUAAGAAAAUUAAAAGAUAAGGGUUAACAUAGGAAAAAUAUUUAUAAUACAUAUAUUUGAGAAACGACUUAUAUAUUGGAUAUAUAAAGAACUCUUACAACUCAAUGAAAAGAAAAUAAUUGACUCAAUUUAAAAUAGGCAGAAUAUUUCAGCACUGCUACUACAUUCUAGAAGAUUUGAACAUGUACCAUUUUCAUUCCUUGGAAAAUAGUUUGGCAGUUUAGCAUAUGAUACUGGAAUUCUCUCCUAGGUAUUUAUCCAAGAGAAAUGAAAACAGAUAUCCACACAAAAAUUUCGUCAUGCAUGUUUAUAGCAGUUAAUUCAUAAUAGCUGUAAACUGGGAACACCCAAAUAUUCAUUGCAGAUGAAUGGUUAAACAAAUUGUGCUCUAUCCCUACCAGUAGAAGGGAAUGAACUAUGAACACACACAUGGAUAAGUCUUAAAACAUUAACAAAAACAUGACGCUAAAUGGAGGAAGCCACAUACAAUAUAUUCUGUAUAAUAUCAUUUAUAUGAGAUUUUAGAAAUCAAAAACUAAUUUAUGGUGUCAGAAAGCAGAUCAGUGACUUGGGGUAGUGGUAGGAGAGUUUGACUGCAGAGGCACAUGAGGUAUCUUUUGUUGGUGAUGGAAAUGUUUUGUAUUUUAAUUUUGUUGGUUGUCACACAGUUGUACAACAUUUGUUAAAAAUAAUCAAACUGCACAUUUUAAAUGGGUGUAUGCAUAUUUUAUUCAACAAGUUUGACGAAGGAACUUAGGAACACUAAGUUGGACAAUCUCAUGAGCUUUUUUUGUGAUUUCAAAUCCAUGUUAGUGGUUAAGCUACAAUGUUUAUUGUUGAAUGUGGGUAUUUACUAUGGAGGAAGUGUGUGUAUGGUCUUAGCUCAUUUACAAAUAAAAUAUUUUAACCUUUAAUUGAAUAUUGAUAUAGCAUGAUGUUAACUUUAUGUUACAGUUACUUUCUGCUGUGUAUUACUGGGAAUGUCUUUCGGUACUUAUAUAGAAAUAAGGUAAAAAAGCUAUACAAUUAAAAAUGUGGCAAUAGUCACUUCAAAUCUUUUAUGUGUGCCUACUAAAGCAAACAAAAUACUAAACUUGUUUUAUAUGUGUUCAAUAAACUGCUGAACAAGAAAA